GUAGGUGGCAAGCGUUGUCCGGAAUUAUUGGGCGUAAAGCGCGCGCAGGCGGUCCUUUAAGUCUGAUGUGAAAGCCCACGGCUCAACCGUGGAGGGUCAUUGGAAACUGGGGGACUUGAGUACAGAAGAGGAAAGCGGAAUUCCAAGUGUAGCGGUGAAAUGCGUAGAGAUUUGGAGGAACACCAGUGGCGAAGGCGGCUUUCUGGUCUGUAACUGACGCUGAGGCGCGAAAGCGUGGGGAGCAAACAGGGAUUAGAUACCCUGGUAGUCCACGCCGUAAACGAUGAGUGCUAAGUGUUAGGGGGUUUCCCGCCCCCUUAGUGCUGCAGCUAACGCAUUAAGCACUCCGCCUGGGGGGUUACGGCCGCAAGGCUG
rnacentral:rRNA from 1 species